CCAUCUCAUCCUCUCUCUCCAUCUCUUCCUCUCUCUCUGUGUUUUUCCCCAAUAGAUUUUUACAGAUUCCAUUUGACAAGCAAAACUAAAUGGAAAUUUUUCUAAAUCAAAUUUACGUUGUAGCAUUUUUUCUAUACGAGGAUUUUGUCGGUUUUUUUUGGAGCUAUUUGGAACCUUUAUCCAACUUUUCCUUAAAAUUGUGGACGCUAUUCCGAUGACAUCUGUAUGGAUCUUGGACACCUAUGGAACCAUUUGAAUGAACCGUUCAAUGCUAAAUUCUGCAAAAAUGAUUUCUACGAGGAACAACGAAUUUUCCGUACAACGAAUUCCCCUUGAGAUUCGCUAUAUGUGAAAACUAGUGAUUAGAAUAGUUCCAAGAAAUAUGCAUGAAUAAAAUGCAUCAAAAUUCAGAAACUCUACCCGUUUCUGAGUAGUAGUCCCCCUCUAAUGGGAUUUCUUGCGGACUUGUGCAAGUUAAUGCAUAACUUUCUUUGGCUUUGCUUGGAAAAGAUGUGGCGCAAAAAAUAUGAGAAAAUAAUUGCACACUUUUGGAGCAGCAGAGAACGGAUGUCACGCCCCGGACCAUGGAAAUUAAGUGAAAAAUUACAAGGCAACAAAUAAUUAUACACUUCUCUCCUCUGCACUUGAGGCUGUCGCUGUCCCCUGUACACACCCGUAGAAUAUAUAGUAUA
rnacentral:sRNA from 1 species